UACGUAGUCUGCUGCAUGCA
rnacentral:rRNA from 1 species